rnacentral:rRNA from 1 species
UACGUAGGGUGCGAGCGUCGUCCGGAAUUAUUGGGCGUAAAGAGCUCGUAGGCGGUUUGUCGCGUCGUUCGUGAAAACUUGAUGCUUAACAUCAAGCGUGCGGGCGAUACGGGCAGACUUGAGUACUACAGGGGAGACUGGAAUUCCUGGUGUAGCGGUGAAAUGCGCAGAUAUCAGGAGGAACACCGGUGGCGAAGGCGGGUCUCUGGGUAGUAACUGACGCUGAGGAGCGAAAGCGUGGGUAGCGAACAGG